GCACAACGCGAAGAACCUUACCUGGUCUUGACAUCCCUCUGACCGGUGCAGAGAUGUACCUUUCCUUCGGGACAGAGGAGACAGGUGGUGCAUGGUUGUCGUCAGCUCGUGUCGUGAGAUGUUGGGUUAAGUCCCGCAACGAGCGCAACCCUUGAGCUUAGUUGCCAGCACGUGAAGGUGGGCACUCUAGGCUGACUGCCGGUGACAAACCGGAGGAAGGCGGGGAUGACGUCAAAUCAUCAUGCCCCUUAUGACCUGGGCUACACACGUACUACAAUGGCCGGUACAAAGGGUUGCGAAGGAGCGAUCCGGAGCCAAUCCCAGCAAAGCCGGUCUCAGUUCGGAUUGCAGGCUGCAACUCGCCUGCAUGAAGUCGGAAUUGCUAGUAAUCGCGGAUCAGCAUGCCGCGGUGAAUACGUUCCCGGGUCUUGUACACACCG
rnacentral:rRNA from 1 species